GUACUACUCCCUCUGUCCCAAAAUUCUUGUCUUAAAUUUGUCUAAAUACGGAUGUAUCAAGUCACGUUUUAGUAUUAGAUGCAUCCGUAUCUAGACAAAUGUAAGACUAGAAUUUUGGGACAGAGGGAGUACUAC
rfam:Triticum aestivum genome assembly, contig: Triticum_aestivum_CS42_TGACv1_scaffold_019284_1AS